UGCCAGCCGCCGCGGUAAUACGGAGGGUGCAAGCGUUAUCCGGAAUUACUGGGUUUAAAGGGUGCGUAGGCGGCUAUAUAAGUCAGGAGUGAAAGGUUCCCGCUAAACGGGAGAAGGUCUUUUGAUACUGUAUAGCUUGAAUAAGGUUGAGGUUAGCGGAAUGUGACAUGUAGCGGUGAAAUGCAUAGAUAUGUCAUAGAACACCAAUUGCGAAGGCAGCUGGCUAGACCUAUAUUGACGCUGAGGCACGAAAGCGUGGGGAGCGAACAGGAUUAGAUA
rnacentral:rRNA from 1 species